UUUCCUACGCUAAAAACCACUGAGUGGAGUAUUUAGUACACAGGAAGUCGGCCAGAGAAACAUUUCUCAUAUUUGAAGGCCGGAAAGAGGGACAUUUCUGACACCGGAAGUCAGUGAGAGGACUCUUUCCCACACAGGAAGUCAGCUAGAGAGCCGUCUCCCCUCUCUGGAGCCGAGAGAGGCCGGUUUCCCCCACCACUCUCAGGGUAAAGAAGGAAAUGAGAAAUUGCAAGACAGAGUAUUUCUUAGGCAAUGGCUGAGAAUGGCAACUCACCACAUGCCUUUGAAUAAGACGUGAUUAUUAUUAACCCAUAUUCUAUCAAAGAAGAAACUGAGGCUCAGAGAGGCAACUUACUUGCCAAAGGUCACUCUGCUGGUAGCCCACCUGGGAGGAAUUUUCCAGAGAUCACUGUCUGAUGACCCUGUCUUGGAAUUGGAGCCAUGCAAGUUACACUGACCACGUUUGGGUUGGGAUAUUGAGGAGGUUAUGGUUAAAAGCAUACGAUGGGAGAUCAUAUUGUACUUGCGAGUGAGACCCGGCUGGAGGAAUGUUUUAAUUCUUCGGAAAUACCAAGUGGUCUCU
rnacentral:lncRNA from 10 species